GUUCUUCUUCUAAAUUCUCCAGCUCUGCUAUGAGGUUCUUCACGUCAUUCAUCCACUUGUUAACCUUGUCAUCAAUUCUGUCAGUCUUGUUGAUAAUAGCCUCUUGAACACGUUCUUGCACCCUGCCUUGUCUGUUGUAAAAUUGGAGGCACCAAAUAUUCAGCAAGUUUUGCUGCCACCGACACUCCCACCUCUGCCAUUUAAUUAAUAGCAACCUGAAAGGAGAGCUUUGCAUUCAUCAUCAUCAAAUGAUCAACUCAAAAAUUCAUUUUGAAGAACUAAGGCAUAAUUUAAUACUAAUCAAGAUUUUGAAGAGUGAGAAGAACAGAAUUCAACUGCGAGGACCAGAUUUCGCAAGAGAGAACUUGGAAGUUGGGAGUGAAAGUAUGUAGGUAAGAUGAUUAUGGCUUUGAUGAUCAGUAAGUGU